rnacentral:rRNA from 1 species
GAUGAACGCUGGCGGCGUGCCUAAUACAUGCAAGUCGAGCGAACGGACGAGAAGCUUGCUUCUCUGAUGUUAGCGGCGGACGGGUGAGUAACACGUGGAUAACCUACCUAUAAGACUGGGAUAACUUCGGGAAACCGGAGCUAAUACCGGAUAAUAUUUUGAACCGCAUGGUUCAAAAGUGAAAGACGGUCUUGCUGUCACUUAUAGAUGGAUCCGCGCUGCAUUAGCUAGUUGGUAAGGUAACGGCUUACCAAGGCAACGAUGCAUAGCCGACCUGAGGGGGUGAUCGGCCACACUGGAACUGAGACACGGUCCAGACUCCUACGGGAGGCAGCAGUAGGGAAUCUUCCGCGAUGGGCGAAAGCCUGACGGAGCAACGCCGCGUGAGUGAUGAAGGUCUUCGGAUCGUAAAACUCUGUUAUUAGGGAAGAACAUAUGUGUAAGUAACUGUGCACAUCUUGACGGUACCUAAUCAGACAGCCACGGCUAACUACGUG